AAGCAACUGGGAACGAGAUUACAGGAAGUGACGUCAUUCUUCAACGUGAGGCAAGGUGGGUCGUUAUUUGAAUAGAUGCCGAUUCCCCCCUUACUUCACGUUUUCGGAAGGAGCACAGAAUCCACGGCUACAUUCGCAGAGGCACGACCUUCGAACCACCUGCUGACGUUUCUUUCCAAACUGAAAAAUAUUUCUACCUCACACACAUUCAAUCCUCACAACAUCAGUUCUCCCAUGUUCAACUUGCACGUUCCAGGGCGUGUCAAAUCUCCCAACCAGCUGCCGAUGUUUCUUUCCAAUUUUAAAAAUAUUUCUACCUCACGCACAUUAAAGAUAAGUUCAUAUUCUAUAAAUAUACACACUCUAAAGCCUUCCAGAAAUCAAUUUCGCCUCAUUUUCUCGAUGCUUUAUUCGCUCACCUCAUGAAUUUUGCUGCACGUCCCAUUUCACAAGCACUUGCUGAUGUUUCUUUCCAACGUUAACAAUUUCUGUACCCCACUGUGAUUCAGUUGAAGUCUCUGUGUCUCUAUCCUUCAAAUUCGCACUCUGAUGUCCCCGGAAACCAGUCUCGCCUCAUUUGCGCAAUGCUUUCGUCGUCCCCGUCAUGCAUUUUUUUGCUGCAUCCAUUUCUAAAGUCUUUGCCUAUGUUAAAAAUAUUUCUACCCCACUUAGACUCAAUUUUGGUCACCAUUUUAUAAACAGAUAUACUGAAGCUUUUCAGAAAUCAGUUUCACCUCAUUUCCUCCACGCUUUCAUCACUCAUCUCACACAUAUCCCUAGGAUGUCGAUUCCACAGCACUUGCCGAUGUUUCUUUCUAAUGUUGAGAGUAUUUCUACCCCACCAAGAUUUAACAGUAUCCCAUACAUAGACACCCUGAAGCAAUCUAGAAACCGAUUUCACCUCAUUCAUUUUUUAUUCACAUAAUGGCCACGUUUUGAAAACGCUCGUCCUUUCCGGAGCACUUUGCGAGAUUUCUUUCCAAUGUGAAGAAUAUUUCUACCUGACUGAGAUACAAUCUCCUUACUCCAUAUACUCACUCCAUAUACUGUCACAAACACCCCUAGACAAUCUCGAAAUCAGUUUCACCUCAUUUGCUCAAUCCUUUCAUCACGCAUCUCAUGCAUUUCACUGAAUGGCCCAUUUCCGAUGCGCAUGUCAAUGUUUCUUUCCAAUUUUAAAAAUAUUUCUACUCCACUUAUUCUCAAGCUAACUGCAUAUCCUAUAACUAGACAUUGUCGAGCAUUCCAGAAACAAAUUUCAUGUCGUUUCAUUCGUUUCACCCCUCAGCUUGCACUUUAAAGGGUGCGUCACGCCUCCGAGCCAUCCGCUCCUCAGCACCUUUCCAAUUUUACAGAUAUUUCUACCUCACACAGAUUUAAGAGCUCCGAUCUCCUUCUCUGAACUUCACAUACAUGGAGAAAGAGCACUUUCAUGUACCUUCUUCCAAGCUGCAUCCUAGCCAGCUAGCCAAGGAACUAGGACAACAGAACCAUGAGUCUUUCUCACCAUCAGGACCAUGAGGAGGAGAUGGCCUUCCUCAACAUGAGUUCUGACUGGCAGUGAUGGAAUGUACAAGCGAGCGCGUCCCAUGCGUGGCCACUGCCGUUACAACUGACUAACUGGCACGCCUUUGCAGGCCGCCAAAGGUCAUUUUUUUUCUUGCACGUUGCCUACAUCGUGAAACACUUGGACCUUUGUGGUGGAUGACAGGAACAUAUGAAGUCCUAUAAUCUGCGGUGUUCACUCUAGAGGUGUCACCCGAUGAAUCGUGCCGCUUUCACUAUUACGAAUAAUCUUGACGGAUUCGUUGUCCUCAAAGUUGAUAGUUUCACACUGUUGGCGUUCAUGUGGGGCGAACAGGCACCUCGGGCAUCAUUGCUGUUGUUUGACCACUCUCUUUUAUAGACUUAGGCUGCGCAGAUGGAAUCCUGUGGAUCAAACAGAUGGAAUGUUCAGAAUCUGGCUGUCCACUGUUGAGAUAAACCUAGUCACUUCUGAAAGGAAGAAGGCCACAAAACAAGAUGAUUUGUUCUUUCAACACAGUGCGUGAUUAUCAUUAUAUAUGUUCAGACUGACGACCACAAUACAAUAUUUACUAGCACCUUUUCUUUUUUAUUUUCAUGUAAUAUAUAUACAGUCAACCCCCGAUUUAUGAACACCUCGGUUCCCCAAAAAAUUGUUCAUAAAUCGAGGGAUUCAUAAAUCGAAAAUUCAGUUAACUGAGUGCUAUCGAGCAAAUGCAACAGUAUUUCCAAGUUGGGAUUGUGUUUAUAAUGCCAUAUAUUGUGUAAUUUUGCUUUUGACCACGCCUUCUGCUGUAUCAAUCUCACAAAGAACAGACGUUAGCGCAUUCACACUCUGUUUAUUAUGCAAUACUAAAUUGUUUAAUUUCGCUUUGGACCAUGCCUUCCGCUGCGUCAAUCUUGGAAAUAAGAGAUGUCACUACAUUCGCACUGGACUGGUCUCGGAUUUCCUCCGGAAUUUUUAACCUCCGUUUAUUAAUCUCCAGGUGACAGCGACCACUUUAUUCAUCAACUGAGGUCAGGAACACUUGGUCGAACAACGGAAAACCGGUUUGUUGUUCGGAUUUCGAGGGGUUAAGAACCGAGGAUCGCAAUACCUGGAAAACGUUUUGUCCGUUCAGGCGUCAUUCAUAAGACCACGGAAUUAUCCCUUUGAAGGUUUCUGUUGACCUCGGAAUGAUCCGUUCAUAAAUUGAGGGGAAAAACGCUGGGCAACUCCUAGUUGGUUCCCAGAAAUUCCGUUCAUUAUUCGAAUAUCGAGGUUCAUAAAACGAGGGAAAAAUGAAUGGAAAAAGUUUGGUUCCCCGUGUUCGUGUUCAUAAAACGAGGGAAUUCAUAAAUCGAAGGUUCAUAAAUCGAGGGUUGACUGUAUCUAUAUAUGCACCAUACUGCACAACGAUUCUCACUAGGGUUCCACGUAGCUUCACAAUCUUAGUUUUUCUUUACAUCGAGCCAGGAAUGGAUUAAAAAUUGGUACGAUGUUAAUAUAAGCAGCAUACAAAAAUAUUUCCAAAUUAGGUCCACAUGAACAAAACUGCACAAAGUGAAUUGAAAAGAAUGAAAAAAAAUGAAGGUAUUUAGCCUAAUAGAGAGCAAAAAAUUCAGCACAAGUGUACAUCAUGUGGAAUGGAAACACACACACACAAUGGUACCGGGAAGGCGGUUCCACUACAACGACAUACAAGGAGAAAAUGGAUUCAGAAAUAACUUCCUUGAGCAUGAGGGAAUACCCACGUUCUACGGGUGAUCGGCACGUAUGAUAGAUAGCCUGAGAUAUAUGUAGCCUGUUAGACCAAAGAUUCUCUGAGGUGAUUAUUAUGAAUGAUAAUAAAUCUUGUUGAAACAAAGACUAGUUAUUUUUCGACAAGUGCAAAGUAGAAGCAGAUGGAGGAUGUGUUUCAUAGCAGUGAUACUGGCGUUGUAGUUACCAAAUAUGAACAGGCUGUCUUGCAUUGUACUGUUUCUAUUGAGUUUGAAAUGUUGAUGUGGUCGGUAUCCCACACAGAGCCAUGUCUUCCAACUUAGGAAAGGCUAGUGAUUUAUACAGUCACUAUAGUGUUAGUUGGAGUGGAUGAAAAAAUUCAGCGGUGUAACCUGGAGCUCGCGAUGCGUUGGUAGUGAUGUGUUCAACAUGAGGGAGCCAGGACAGGUUAGAUGAAAUGAAAAUGCUGAGGUAUUUGUAAAGUGAUACCCAGAGACCGUGGUGAUACUGAUUCAAAUGGAAUGUUAUUAAUGGAAUAAGUCACAUGCACUUUAUUAGAGCGCGAAAUUAUCACCAGAAUUUUGUUGUU